GCCCUGCGCCUCUCUCUCCCAGGCAAUUGCCUCAUGUAACCCAGGCUAGGCGGAGCUAGGCAAGGCGCUAGAGGAUCGCCUCACCUCGCCCAGCGCCUAGGAGCGCCUUUAACAACACUGGCUAAGAUCAUCAGUAAAUAUUUCUAUUCUAGCUAUAAUAUUAUUUAAUGCUAAUGAUAUUCAAAAUAUGAUAGAUUUAAUGUCUUUAUUUGAUGUAUUUGUGCUUAUUAUAUAGUUAUAUAUCUUAAUUUUAUUUGUCUCCACCAAUAUCUACUCAUUUUAUCAACUUUGCAAAUUUUGCAAAAGAAUUUAUGUAGUGCCAGACCAUUACCAUUACUUUAUGAUGGUUACCAUUAAGUUACAACAGCCCAUUUCCUUUACCCGCAACCACAAUUUAAAACCAUGAUUAAACCUGUGCUAUGAAGAACAAUUAUUUAUAUUUGGUUGAUGUGUCGACACCACAUUUGUAUCAACAAUACACGUAUAAAUACUCCUUCCACCAGGAUUCAUUUCUAAUUCCGCUAAAAGAUAUCCAUGCUUCUCUAAAAAUAAACCUAUUGGAUACUGAAACACAACUGAUCCUUCUCAGCAUCCUACAUAAAUAUUUGACACGAAUGAGAUAUCAGGAUGCAUGUUUUUCUGGUAUUAACAUGAAUAAUCUCACAAGAAAAAUCAGAGCUUUUUUUUCUUUGAAAAUACUAACUUUCCAAUGUAGAAUGUCAAAGAUUACGUAUAAUUGAUAACUGUAUCCCUUACCCAAAAGCAAGCAGACAUCUCUUUGGUUCCUCCCUUGUCUCUUUAAUUUCUAACAAACAAAACUUCCCCUUCACUCCUGAUCCUGAAACCCUAAUAUCCUAAUGACCAGAACUCCAGAAACAGAACCAUCAUCAAAUUCAUAAAACCAAACAGCAUGCAUCAACAGAAAGAACCCAUGAACCACCCAAAUGAAAUCAUAAACUACCCAUCUUGCUCUCAUAUUAUUAGAUGCUUUCCAUUCAAACUGGCUUGCAUUGCACUCGAACAAGGAUAAUAUUUCUACUAUGACUGAUAUGAGAUUAUUUUCAAUUGUGUUCCAACUUCCAAACAACAUAAAUGAAUUAAAUAGCUCUCAAUUAGUUUGUUUCAAACAUUAAUUCAAUUAUAAAUAAUUAAACUAAUAGAAAAUAAACAAAUCAAGACAUGGAAAAAUACAAACAAAUUUCAGUUACAUAUAAAACCUUACUCUGUGCCUUUCUGCCUCAAAAUCCGAAACUGAUCUGGCGAUAAAAUCGCACGCCACUCCUCCUCUGACUUCUGGACGGACCCAGGAGCAGCCAUGGCGAUUAAUCCACCACGAAAAUUACGCUUUCUCCGGUAGAAAGAGCCACCGAACCCAGCAAGAGAAAUGGAAUAGACUGCGGGUUUGGAAGAAGGAAAUCUGAAAUGGGUUUUGCAGGAGUUAGGAACAGAAUGAAGCAGAGAAAGAACCUUGGAGAAAGUGGGUUUGGCUGUGGGGGUGAUGAGAACUGCUUUGGUUGCAGAAACAGGUGAGCUUUUGAGGAUGUUGAAGCCCAUCAUCUGGAAGAGAGAGACAGAGAGAGAAAGGG
rnacentral:misc_RNA from 1 species